rnacentral:rRNA from 1 species
GCAGUCGAGGGGCAGCAUUACCUUCGGGUAGAUGGCGACCGGCGCACGGGUGAGUAACGCGUAUGCAACCUGCCUUGUACAGGGGGAUAGCCCGAAGAAAUUCGGAUUAAUACCCCAUGGUUCUUUAGUGUCGCAUGGCACUUUUGAUAAAGUUUCGGCGGUACAAGAUGGGCAUGCGUGACAUUAGUUUGUUGGUGAGGUAACGGCUCACCAAGGCUACGAUGUCUAGGGGUUCUGAGAGGAUGAUCCCCCACACUGGUACUGAGACACGGACCAGACUCCUACGGGAGGCAGCAGUGAGGAAUAUUGGUCAAUGGGCGCAAGCCUGAACCAGCCAUCCCGCGUGCAGGAUGACGGCCCUAUGGGUUGUAAACUGCUUUUAUUUGCCAAGAAUGUGCACUACGUGUAGUGUUUUGACGGUAGCAAAUGAAUAAGCAUCGGCUAACUCCGUGCCAGCAGCCGCGGUAAUACGGAGGAUGCGAGCGUUAUCCGGAUUCAUUGGGUUUAAAGGGUGCGUAGGCGGUGUUGUAAGUCAGUGGUGAAAUCCUGCCGCUUAACGGUAGAACUGCCAUUGAAACUGCAGCACUUGAGUGCGCUUGAGGUAAGCGGAAUGUGUAGUGUAGCGGUGAAAUGCUUAGAUAUUACACAGAACACCGAUUGCGAAGGCAGCUUACUAAGGCGUAACUGACGCUGAUGCACGAAAGCGUGGGGAGCGAACAGGAUUAGAUACCCUGGUAGUCCACGCCGUAAACGAUGAUAACUCGCUGUUGGCGAUACACAGUCAGCGGCCAAGCGAAAGCAUUAAGUUAUCCACCUGGGGAGUACGAUCGCAAGGUUGAAACUCAAAGGAAUUGACGGGGGCCCGCACAAGCGGAGGAACAUGUGGUUUAAUUCGAUGAUACGCGAGGAACCUUACCUGGGCUUAAAUGUGCUAUGACCGGUUUAGAGAUAGACCUUUCCUUCGGGACAGAGUACAAGGUGCUGCAUGGUUGUCGUCAGCUCGUGCCGUGAGGUGUCGGGUUAAGUCCCAUAACGAGCGCAACCCUUAUCGUUAGUUACCAGCGAGUAAUGUCGGGGACUCUAGCGAGACUGCCACCGUAAGGUGAGAGGAAGGUGGGGAUGACGUCAAAUCAGCACGGCCCUUUGUCCAGGGCUACCACGUGUUACAAUGGAUGGUCAAAGGGCAGCUACCUGGUGACAGGAUGCUAAUCCUAAAGCCAUCUCAGUUCGGAUCGAAGUCUGCAACCCGACUUCGUGAAGCUGGAUUCGCUAGUAAUCGUAUAUCAGCAAUGAUACGGUGAAUACGUUCCCGGGCCUUGUACACACCGCCCGUCAAACCAUGGAAGCUGGGGGUGCCUGAAGUC